rnacentral:rRNA from 1 species
AUGGCUGCCUGCACUGCAAGAAUCCACCAUAUCUUGCUCGCGCUAUCCGGUGCUUUCUACCUCGCGUCGCACUCCGCCGCAUUCUCCGCCUGGGAUCACCCCGGUGUGAUCUCUCGCCUGGCUGACCAUGAUACCUUCCUUGCACUUAAUGUCACCGUGGGCAUGUUUGAUCUCCUCGACUUGGACUGGUGCUCUAUGGAGGAGCUGCCUCCUCCCGGCGCCGUCACCAGGCCGGCAGUUAUCCGCCGCGGUUCAACCUUUCCCAGGCCUGUGAUGCUCAUCAGCACUCCUGAGGGCUCCUUGAGAGAGAAACAUGACUAUGAUAACUGUACCGCCAGGUUUUUCUCUCAUUUCUCUUCCGCGUUCGAAGAAGAAAUUGUAAUUGGGCUGUCCGAGAGCAUGAGCCGAAGAGUGCCCCGUCCAACCCCUCACAGGCUCCCAGACCAACCUAGGGAGCGAAAAUAUGGCCGUAGAGCGAUGACCACAAGGAAGAAACAGCAGCCUGUUGCGAUCCGCGGGGAGCUCGCGUCGUCGUGGUUGAAGCAAGCGGCUGUGGCAGGUUCGGCUUUGUUUGGGUUGAUUUGCGCUGUGCCAGCUCUUCUGCUCUGCUGCAUACGCGGAAAGAGGCUGAGGCAGAGCACAUCGGUUAUCGAGCUCCGGCGAGGAUUAGGACCUAGGGAGUUUCGCUACCGCGAGCUUGCCGCCGCGACAGACAAUUUCGCCGAGCAGAAAAAGAUCGGGAGAGGGGGGUUCGGUCCGGUGUACUGCGGCUACUUGAGUGACCAAGACCGGCAUGUGGCCAUCAAGACGCUCUCGGAGGAGCCGACGGCGGUGCAGGGGCGCAAGGAGUUUGAGGCAGAGGUCAGUGUCAUGAGCCAGCUUAGGCACCGCAACAUCGUCCAGCUCGUCGGCUGGUACCGUCGCCGGGGACGACUAGCGCUCGUCUACGAGCUCAUGCCCGGAGGCAGCCUCGACACCCAUCUCUACAGUCCUGACAGACGCUUAUUAACGUGGCCAGAGAGAUACAAGAUUGCUCUUGGCCUGGGCUCUGCCUUGCGGUACCUCCACACGGAAUGCGACCAGUGCAUCGUGCACGGCGACAUCAAACCCGCAAACGUGAUGCUCGACGCGUCGCGCAACGCCAAGCUCGGCGACUUCGGGCUAGCGAGGCUCGACGACCAUGGAGCAGAGCCACGGACAACGCAGGUCGUCGCGGGAACCCUGGGGUACAUCGACCCGGAGUUCGUCAGCAGCGGCAGGCCGAGCGCAGAGUCCGACGUGUACAGCUUCGGAGUCGUGCUCCUCGAGAUCGCCUGCGGCAGGCGGCCGACGUUAACGCGAACGGAUCAUCAAGCCUCGACGGCGCUGCUGGCCUCGGUCCGUGGCAUGUACCACCGUAACCAGAUCGUCGAUGCAGCAGACCGGAGGCUGAAUGGCGAGUUUGACAGGCUGCAGAUGGAGCGUCUGCUGGUGACAGGGCUGUGGUGCGCGCACCACGACCCGAUGCGGCGGCCGUCCGUUGCGCAGGCCAUGGAUGUGCUACGAUCUGCAGACGCCAAGUUGCCCGUGCUUGCAGAGAUGCGUGGCGCUGGGGAGGUUCGGUCUUUGGAGGCACAGGCUUACGACGAUGUGCCUGCCGAGAACUCUGCUUAUUUAACAACUGAAAGUGCGUCCCUUAUGACCGAUGAUUCCGAGCACUCCCAAUGCAUCAUAUGCUAA